rnacentral:rRNA from 1 species
GACGUAGGAGGCGAGCGUUGUCCGGAUUUACUGGGCGUAAAGCGCGCGCAGGCGGUGGCGCAGGUCAUCUGUGAAAGCCCCCGGCUCAACCGGGCGGAUGCGGGUGAAACCGCGCGACUUGAGGGUGGGAGAGGUCGGCGGAAUUCCCGGUGUAGUGGUGAAAUGCGUAGAUAUCGGGAGGAACACCCGUAGCGAAGGCGGCCGACUGGACCACACCUGACGCUGAGGCGCGAAGGCCAGGGGAGCGAACGGGAUUAGAUACCCCGGUAGUCCUGGCAGUAAACGAUGUCGACUGGUCGUCGGGGGGCUCGACCCCUUCGGCGGCGGAGCUAACGCGGGAAGUCGACCGCCUGGGGAGUACGGCCGCAAGGCUAAA